rnacentral:rRNA from 1 species
GACGAACGCUGACGGCGUGCUUAACACAUGCGAGUCGAACGGAAAGGCCCUGCUUUUGUGGGGUGCUCGAGUGGCGAACGGGUGAGUAACACGUGAGUAACCUGCCCUUGACUUUGGGAUAACUUCAGGAAACUGGGGCUAAUACCGGAUAGGAGCUCCUGCUGCAUGGUGGGGGUUGGAAAGUUUCGGCGGUUGGGGAUGGACUCGCGGCUUAUCAGCUUGUUGGUGGGGUAGUGGCUUACCAAGGCUUUGACGGGUAGCCGGCCUGAGAGGGUGACCGGCCACAUUGGGACUGAGAUACGGCCCAGACUCCUACGGGAGGCAGCAGUGGGGAAUAUUGCACAAUGGGCGGAAGCCUGAUGCAGCAACGCCGCGUGCGGGAUGUCGGCCUUCGGGUUGUAAACCGCUUUCGCCUGUGACGAAGCGUGAGUGACGGUAAUGGGUAAAGAAGCACCGGCUAACUACGUG